rnacentral:rRNA from 1 species
UACGUAGGGUGCGAGCGUUGUCCGGAAUUAUUGGGCGUAAAGCGCGCGCAGGCGGUCCUUUAAGUCUGAUGUGAAAGCCCACGGCUCAACCGUGGAGGGUCAUUGGAAACUGGGGGACUUGAGUGCAGGAGAGAAGAGUAGAAUUCCGCGUGUAGUGGUGAAAUGCGUAGAGAUGCGGAGGAAUACCAGUGGCGAAGGCGACUUCCUGGCCCUCAACUGACGCUGAAGCGCGAAAGCAUGGGGAGCAAACGGG